CACAUUAUACUGACUCCGAGCCGACCAGUCCUUGUUUUACCCAUUAAUGCCGAGCGCCAGGCAAGUGAGAAGUGGGCGUGCGUGCGCUCGUGGAACUGUUAUAUUCUAUAUAAUGAUCCACGGUUAUAACGAACCGAAACCAGAGGUCCCUUUACAAAUUACGUAUAUUACAAGUGUUUAUAACAAAGGAAUAAUGUAAGCAUAUAUUUCCUAACUAUAUGUACUUUUUGAAGCCGACAUUUACAUUUUCAUAAUCUGUAUCAAACUAGUGUCUACUACUGAGGGGGAUACCCCAUGGAGAGUGUACGUCUGUGUGUGUGUGCGCGCGUGUGCGUGUGUGUGCUCACCCUUAUGUAAAACUUAGUUUCUAAACUUUAUUUCAUAUUGCUCUGUGUGAUCUCUGGGGUUUUUUCCUUUCCAUUGAUAUUUGCUGGUUGUGCCUUUUUAGGGAGAGAAAUAAAGGCUUUAUGAGUCACUUUGAAAGGCGACAGAUCUUACUUAAAGCCUAUAAAUAUCAGUUGACAUUACCUUUUUUUGUCGAAUUACCCAAAUGUUGUGAGAGUAUUUUGUCAAUCGGUUGUUGUUUUUUAACUCAUAUAACGCUUGGCAUCUUAUUGUUCAUAUAACGUAAGCAUCUAGUCUUUACAGAGGCUAGGCACGUUGUGUUUAUAAAGCAUUAGGAUUUUGGAGUUCAUAUAACGUUUGGCAUCCUACUGUUCAUAUACGCUAGGCAUCUUGUUGUUCAUAAAAGGCUAGUCAUCUUUCUGUUCAUAGAGGCUUGGCAUCUUGGUAUUUGAAUAGGCAUGACGUAUUGGUUGGUCAUGAGUCAGAGAGUUGUUUCCUUUCAUCUGAGUUGUUCAAAUAUGUUAAUUUGUGUUUUGAUAUCGUUUUACUGCAAACAGCAUUACAUCAUUUUGUUAUUUUUGUGUUUAGUUAUACACGUGAGACUCGAUGGGUAUUCUUUUGAAUAGCUUAGUGAGUUUAGCUUUACGCCGCACUCAGCAAUACUCCAGCUAUAUGGCGGCGUUCUGUAAAUAAUCGAGUCUGGACCAGACAAUCCUGUUGUUCUUCCUGGAUGUAAGACCAGUGUGUCGUGAGGUAGAUUUGUUCCGUUGACUUCCUUGCUUUCAGAGGAAUUUCAGGAUUACUUGUAUAUAGAUCUUUACAUAUUUACUCUAUAACUCACAUCCCUUAAUCUUUUUUUAUUUUUUAUUAUCAUUACAUUCCCUAUUUGUUUAAAACAAUUUUAUUAAAAGCAGAUCUUAGUAUUCACUAAGAUUAUUGUUUAUCGUCAUGCAUACGAUAGAGACAAUCGUAUUUCAGUUUUACAAAAUAGGUAUUCGUAAGGUGUAUAUAUUUUGUGUUUGAUCUUCAGUUACCUUUUAAUGCAUAAAUAGAAUAUGUGUACAUAUAAUUCACGACUCAGUCUUUGCAAGGAUAGCAAGACAGCUUUACAGACUGGGUAGCCGUGCCCAUGGAAACGAUGUAUGUGUCACUGUUGUUCAUAAUGACGUUGUACAUGUCGUCAUCUCAAAGUCAGGGAUGUAUAAGCAAUCAAACCUGAACAGUAUUAUGCAUGGAAGAUUGUUGUGUUACCUGUGUGUAUGGAUAUAUAUACACGUGGGCGUUAUUGAAGCAUCUCGAACUUUUUCGAAAUUUCGCAUUGAAGAAUAACUGGUGUGAUUCAUUUGUGGAAACCCGACCCGAGAAUAGUGAGCUGACCAACAUAAAGUCUAGCAGUACUAUCACACACGAUGUGAAGCCGACACUAGCAGUAUGUGCCGAGGUAUUUGCCUUGCGGUCAUUUCAACAACGCUGAAAAUCACUCAGCUAUCACCUCCAAGUAGAUUUUUUACAUGCAGUGUAAACCCUGGGAACCGUUGUACAAGGCAAUCUCAGAGGUACAAGCGGCGUAAGUCUAUGUUGUUAUGUGAGUUACGAUCCCUUUGGCGCUGAGAAUGUCGUAAGUCUACAUUAAGGUGUGGGAGUUACGAUCACCUUAUCGCUGAGAUUGUCGUAAGUCUAUGUUAAGGUGUGGGAGUUCCGAUUAUCUUACAUUUGACUGUCGUUAGUCUGUUAAGGUAUGGGAGUUACGAUCACCUUAGCUCUAAGACUGUCGUACGUCAAUGUUAAGAUGUGGGAGUUACGAUCACCUUAGAGCUUAGAUUGUCGUAAGUCUAUGUUAACGUAUGGGAGUUCCGAUCUCUUUACAUUUGACUGUCGUAAGUCUACGAGCAGAUGUAGGAGUUACGAUGACCUUAGCGCUUAGAUCACUUUGUACAUCGUCACCACGGGUCACGUAAGUCAGGUUUUGAAAUGGAGGGUCUCUAUCUCUCACUUGUCAGCCAGAACAAUCGCAAAGGUGUCCAUCUGCUUCAGAUCGGGGUUUGCCAGUAUUGUUUAAUGUGAUUUUGAAUCAGAUGAUGCUUAAUUAAUGCUUACAUGUAUACUAGAAUCACCCAGUAGAGCAUGGCAUGGAGAACUGUGGUAUGCUUUAGUUUCGUUUCCAUACGUAUUCUACUAGUCGUUAAACAUUGAAUGUGCCAAUCAUCAAAUUAUUUUUAUUCUAUAUUUGCUAUUUUGCAAUACCUGUUUAUGGUAAAUAAAUGCUUGAGCAAA
rnacentral:lncRNA from 1 species